rnacentral:tRNA from 1 species
GGGCCUGUAGCUCAGUUGGUAGAGCACCGGUCUCCAAAACCGGGUGUCACGGGUUCGAGUCCCGUCGGGUAUU